AUAAAUGCGAUACUUUGGGAUCCCUGUUUUAUCUGGUAGCAAAUUUUUAGUAAAAGACAAUCCAAUGUUAGUUUCGCAUAGAGGAUAGAGCUGCCUAUGAUUGCUUAUGUGAUUGCUAUGAGAUUCAUAACCUAUGUUAGUUUCAAUGGAUUUGCAAGAUGGGGUGUCACUCCAAACUUUGGCUUGGCUCAUUACUAUGUUGGAAGGUCAUUAUGGAGUCUUAUUGCCUGGAGCUGGUAAAUCUGUUGAAGAUGCGGACCGCGAACAGGGCUGCAAUUCUUCAUGUUCUUAUGCAAAUCAGAAGCUGCUUUUGACAUUGACAAGGCAGCUGCAGUGAAGAAUGACAUAUCAAGAUUACUUACAUACAUAUUGUCAGGCCACAUAAGCCUCUUCCGCGACCACUCAUUGGCAGAUUCAGGACCAUCUUUCAUGCUCCAACAAUAGUUUGCCUUUGAUCUUCAAAUCGAUUAGUUGAAGGCAUGACCGGAUAAUCUUCAGAGUAGGAGUCAUCUUCAUAUGUCUCCUAGUUGGCAGCUCAUGAAACUGAUAAUGUCACCUCCCAUACUAGUACAGAUCAUGUCUGGUUGUCUCAGACUCCGAUUUUUCUGGAACCAUGUAAUCAGCAAGAAAGUACACUUGGUAACAAAAUUUAGUAUGCGGCUUGUUUGUAGUUUAGAAGGGCGGUUGCUGUACAAUUGAUGUGUAUGCUUGUGAUGUCUCAAUGUAAAAGACGUGAUGUUCUUCCAUGGAAGCUUCUAAAGAUCUUUGGUUCAGUUGCAAAA